rnacentral:misc_RNA from 1 species
GCCUCGUAUGCCUCCAAGAAAGCAAAUUCAUCUUCAGAUUUUAAGUCACUGCAGCUGCUGCUGGUUACAGCUGUGUUAUCUGCGGUCAAGGAUGAGAAAUCACUUGUAGAUUGUUUGGGGGACAAUGGGAAGCUUUCCAUAAUUCGAGUAGUUGCAGGAUUUACUGUCUCAAUUCUAUUUGCUUUAGCGUCUUCCUUUUGACUCUUUUUAUUUCGAGAAAGACCACAUGAGUCUGGUUUUGCAGAGUCCUUUUGCUUUCGUUUCUUGAGGUUGGUGUGCCAGUGGUUCUUUAUUUCGUUGUCAGUUCUCCCUGGUAACUGGGCAGCAAUAGCAGACCAUCU